AUGAUUAACAUUACAUGUAUCCUUAAUUUUAAGAGGGUUGAGAGCGUUUUAUCUAUUAACGAGACAUUUAGGAGAUUCAGAUGAUGGAAGAUCAGAGCAUCUACCAAAAAACUUUGCUUACUAAAAAGUAUUUAGGAAGCAAUGUUUUGGAAGUUUUACCUCAACAAUAUUUACGAAAAAG
rnacentral:sRNA from 1 species